rnacentral:rRNA from 1 species
UCCAGGCGGGGAACUUCACGCGUUAGCUCCGGUACUAAAAGGUUUUACCCUCCCAACACCUAGUUGACAUCGUUUAGGGCGUGGACUACCAGGGUAUCUAAUCCUGUUUGCUACCCACGCUUUCGUGCAUGAGCGUCAGUAUCGGCCCAGGGGGCUGCCUUCGCCAUCGGUGUUCCUCCACAUCUCUACGCAUUUCACUGCUACACGUGGAAUUCCACCCCCCUCUGCCGUACUCUAGCUUAGCAGUCACAAGCGCAGUUCCCAGGUUGAGCCCGGGGAUUUCACGUCUGUCUUACUAAACCGCCUGCGCACGCUUUACGCCCAGUAAUUCCGAUUAACGCUCGCACCCUACGUAUUACCGCGGCUGCUGGCACGUAGUUAGCCGGUGCUUCUUAUUCCGGUACCGUCAUCCACACAGGGUAUUAGCCUAUGCGAUUUCUUCCCGGCCGAAAGAGCUUUACAACCCGAAGGCCUUCUUCACUCACGCGGAAUGGCUGGAUCAGGGUUGCCCCCAUUGUCCAAAAUUCCCCACUGCUGCCUCCCGUA